rnacentral:rRNA from 1 species
UCAGGACGAACGCUGGCGGCGUGCUUAACACGUGCAAGUCGAGCGAUGAAGCUCUUCGGAAGUGGAUUAGCGGCGGACGGGUGAGUAACGCGUGGGUAACCUGCCUCAUAGAGGGGAAUAGCCUUCCGAAAGGAAGAUUAAUACCGCAUAAGAUUGUAAUAUCGCAUGAUAUAGCAAUUAAAGGAGUAAUCCGCUAUGAGAUGGACCCGCGUCGCAUUAGCUAGUUGGUGAGGUAACGGCUCACCAAGGCGACGAUGCGUAGCCGACCUGAGAGGGUGAUCGGCCACAUUGGGACUGAGACACGGCCCAGACUCCUACGGGAGGCAGCAGUGGGGAAUAUUGCACAAUGGGGGAAACCCUGAUGCAGCCAACGCCGCGUGAGUGAUGACGGUCUUCGGAUUGUAAAGCUCUGUCUUCAGGGAUGAUAAUGACGGUACCUGAGGAGGAAGCCACGGCUAACUACGUGCCAGCCGCCGC